AAUAAACGCUGGCGGCGUGCUUAACACAUGCAAGUCGAACGAGAAAGUUUCUUCGGAAAUGAGUAAAGUGGCAGACGGGUGAGUAACGCGUGAGAAUCUACCCUUUAGUUGAGAAUACCUUCGAGAAAUCGAAGUUAAUACUGAAUAAGUCCCCUCGGGGAGAAAAGUGGCUUAUUUUAGCUACUGCUGAAGGAUGAGCUUGCGUGCUAUUAGCUAGUUGGUGGGGUAAUGGCCUACCAAGGCGAUGAUGGCUAGUCGGCCUGAGAGGGUGUACGACCACACUGGAACUUAGACACGGUCCAGACUCCUACGGGAGGCAGCAGUGAGGAAUAUUGCGCAAUGGGCGAAAGCCUGACGCAGCGACGCCGCGUGAAGGAUGAAGGUUUUCGAAUCGUAAACUUCUGUUAAGUGGGAAGAAAGAAUCGUCUCUAAUAUAGACGGUAGAUGACUGUACCAUUAAAGAAAGCACCGGCUAACUUCGUG
rnacentral:rRNA from 1 species